UUGUUGUAGAAAAGCUCCUCGCGGCUUUCGGUCGCGAACUCGAAGUUCGGUCCCUCGACGAUGGC
rnacentral:tRNA from 1 species